rnacentral:pre_miRNA from 1 species
AUUCUACUCCCUUCGUUGCACAAUACAUGCCUUCUAUUUGUCAAAAUAUAUAUGUAUCUAGACAUGUUUUAGUAUAUAGGUACAUCCAUUUUUGGACAUGGAAGUCAAGUAUUUUGGAACGGACGGAGUACACA